rnacentral:rRNA from 1 species
UACGUAGGGUGCGAGCGUUAAUCGGAAUUACUGGGCGUAAAGCGUGCGCAGGCGGUUUUUUAAGACAGGCGUGAAAUCCCCGGGCUUAACCUGGGAACUGCGCUUGUGACUGGAAGGCUAGAGUACGGCAGAGGGGGGUGGAAUUCCACGUGUAGCAGUGAAAUGCGUAGAGAUGUGGAGGAACACCGAUGGCGAAGGCAGCCCCCUGGGCUAAGAUUGACGCUCAUGCACGAAAGCGUGGGGAGCAAACAGG